rnacentral:misc_RNA from 1 species
AACCUAGCACACCUGCGGUGUGUACCUGCGGAGGGAUCAUUACCGAGUUUACAACUCCCAAACCCCUGUGAACAUACCUAUACGUUGCCUCGGCGGAUCAGCCCGCGCCCUGUAAAACGGGACGGCCCGCCCGAGGACCCUAAACUCUGUUUUUAGUGGAACUUCUGAGUAAAACAAACAAAUAAAUCAAAACUUUCAACAAUGGAUCU